AGUAACCUGCCUUGGAGUGGGGAAUAACACAGUGAAAACUGUGCUAAUACCGCAUAAUGCAUUUGGGUCGCAUGAUUCUGAAUGCCAAAGAUUUAUCGCUCUGAGAUGGACUCGCGUCUGAUUAGCUAGUUGGCGGGGUAACGGCCCACCAAGGCGACGAUCAGUAGCCGGACUGAGAGGUUGGCUGGCCACAUUGGGACUGAGACACGGCCCAG
rnacentral:rRNA from 1 species